rnacentral:rRNA from 1 species
CGGCGUGGAUGAGGCAUGCAAGUCGAACGAAGUAGCUUGCUACUUAGUGGCGAAAGGGUUAGUAAUACAUGAGUAACGUACCUCUUACCUGGGGAUAACGGUUGGAAACGACCGCUAAUACCGAAUGAGGAGAUCCGGGGUAGCCCGGCAUCUUCAAAGUAGGGGAUCCUUCGGGACCUUACGGGAAGAGAGCGGCUCAUGGGAUAUCAGCUUGUUGGUGUGGUAAAGGCGCACCAAGGCUAAGACGUCUAGGCGGACUGAGAGGUUGACCGCCAACACUGGGACUGAGAUACUGCCCAGACUCCUAUGGGAGGCUGCAGUCGAGGAUCAUUCGCAAUGGGCGAAAGCCUGACGAUGCGACGCCGUGUGGACGAUGAAGGCCUUCGGGUUGUAAAGUCCUUUCGCCAGGGAACAAGAGAAAGCAACUAAUAAUUGCUUGAUUUGAGCGUACCUGGUAAAGAAGCACCGGCUAACUCCGUGCCAGCAGCUGCGGUAAUACGGAGGGUGCAAGCAUUAAUCGGAUUUAUUGGGUGUAAAGAGCAUGUAGGCGGAUAAGUAAGUCAGGUGUGAAAUUUCGGAGCUCAACUUCGAAGCUGCAUUUGAAACUACUUGUCUUGAGGGUAGACGGAGAAAACGGAAUUCCAAGUGUAGCGGUGAAAUGCGUAGAUAUUUGGAAGAACACCGGUGGCGAAAGCGGUUUUCUAGUUUAUUCCUGACGCUGAGAUGCGAGAGCAAGGGUAGCAAACAGGAUUAGAUACCCUGGUAGUCCUUGCCGUAAACGAUGCAUACUUGGUGUAGUCGGACUCAACCCCGACUGUGCCGUAGCUAACGCGUUAAGUAUGCCACCUGGGGAGUACGCCCGCAAGGGUGAAACUCAAAAGAAUUGACGGGGGCCCGCACAAGCAGUGGAGCAUGUGGUUUAAUUCGAGGAUACGCGAAGAACCUUAUCCUAGAUUUGACAUGCUUGAGAGUCUCUAUGAAAGUAGAGAGUGCCCUUCGGGGAGCUCUUGCACAGGUGCUGCAUGGCUGUCGUCAGCUCGUGUCGUGAGAUGUCGGGUUAAGUCCCGCAACGAGCGCAACCCUUAUC